AUGUUAAUCGGGGGGGGGGUGGUUAAUAUCCUUCGAUAUCAGCAGGAAAAAAAUGAUCGGUUUGACACUAGGUGGCCUUUCCUCUUUAAUGCUGUUAUUGACAGCCUGGAUCUGAGGGAGAUCACGAUGUCUGGUCGUCAGUAUAACUGGGCCAAUAACCGACCGGUGCCAACUUUUGAAAAACUGGACCGGGUGCUAGUUACCACCGUCUGGGAAUAUAAAUAUCCGCUAGCCUCGGUUCGGGAACUAGAAAGAAUUGAGGCCUUAUCACGCUCCGUUGCUAACCGAUUUUGGACAACCAAUCCCAAGUUCUAA
rnacentral:rRNA from 1 species